rnacentral:lncRNA from 1 species
AGAUGUGAAAGGAACUGGAGUGUUUCGAACACGUGAGAAAUAAAAAGAAUUAUUUCUUGUUUUGAGAUAAAGUAAAUUAUAUCUCAAUUGUCCGAACUCCUACUGAUUAGUUGACACGUCAUUUUUGCAGAUUCCUACAAAGAAAAGGAAUCGACUAACCUUGAAGCGCCUCCAUAACCUAGUGUUUAUAAAAUACACUAGAGCAUUGAGGCGUCACUACAACCACCGCAAUAUAAUUGAUCCAAUUCUUUUGGACAAUAU